UGCCAAUCCACCAUCUCAAAGCUCAAGGCAGUGAACAUACCGAAGACUCCUUCGUCCCUACAACAACAAGCUUGUGAGACAGGUCAGCAACAGGGAAGAAACGGCCCUAAAGUGAAUAUCCCUGGGCUAUCUCUCUGUGGCCAGUGAUGGUUAAGCAGUCAAGAGAUGCCUUUGACCUUCAGACCCAGGAAUUCAAGAGACAAACAAUGGAUGAAAGAGCAGCACACUUGCCUCAAGAAGACGGUCGAUCAACUAAAGAGCACAACAAAAAAGUGGCAGAAAACUGCUGGACAAAAGAGAAAGGUUGGAGCGUGCCACCACCAUGAUCCCUCAGCGAGGGCUAAAGAUCAAAUAUUUGGUGAAACACACUGAAGAACUGCACAAAGAACGCUGCAGGUCAGCAGCCAAGCGGCCUUUCUCAAAUAUGAGAAGGCUGCCUUAGAACCUUUGAGAAGAGGUCUCGAAGAAGUCUGGAACCUUCUUAAGAACUGAAGAAGCACCUCUAAAGUCUGCAGCAUGAACAGGUUGAGACGGACCAAAGUUACUAUGUGGAGAAAAGCCACUCCAGCCAACUGAUGCCGAAAGUCAGUCCUCUUCAGCAGAAUUUGAGGGAAAAAAAGAAGCAAGUCAACAAUCUACAGCAGCAACAGCAGCCGCCGCAGAGCUAUGCUUCCCAGGCCACUGUUGGAGACCUGUGGAAAGCUGAGGAGGACAACGGAGAAGGACUGAACCAUGUCAAAAUGACGAUGCAAGAAUUACAGCUGCAGACCAGGUGUUUCGAGAAAGACAGUGAAGAUCUCCACAGGGAGGUCCCCAGCCAAGUGGCCUUCUUCAGAAAUGGUUUUGGCGCUCCUAAGCGACCAGCACAUGGGACAACUCGCUGACCCUCUCUCCCCAUAGCUGGAAUGGAGGAACGCUAGCCUUUUACCCUUUCACUCCCUUCCCUUCCCCUCCCUUCCCCUGACUUGCCACUUAGUGUGCCGGGGAGCCAGGCGAGCCCCCCCCCCUACCAGCUGAAGCAACACCUUCAUCCUCGCCCUCCCAAUCACUGCAGGGCUGUCAGCUGAGCUGAACACCUCACAGCCACCGAGCAUCAGGGCCUGAGAGGGCUGGGGAAUCCCAGGGCUCCGAGCCAAAAAGGAGCCUGGAGGUGAACUUGGUAGGGUGAGUCCACAGGCUCCUCUCCAAGCCUCAGAGUUCCAGCUGAGGAUGAGGGCCACCAGGGACAGGGUGAGGGCUCUGCGGUGGGCAGAGCAGAAAGUCUGGCCAGAACAGGAUCUGGAACCCAGAACCGAGUGGCUGAAUGAGCCGAGCAGCUGGCAUCCCAGCAGCCCACAGGAGAGGAGCAGAGAGGAGAACAGCUAGAAGCCGAACUGGGAGCCGAGGGGUCCGCAGGAGACGCCACGAGGCAGC